UCCACCGCCAAGCCUUGGGAGGGAGCGGCGUCCCCGCAGCCUUGCCCUCGUCGCCGAGGGAGCCGUUCCUCCUCCCGGGACGGAGCGGGGUGUGCGUGCGCUGUGUGCACCGAGGGGCUCAGUGGGUGGUGGGUGCUUGGAGGGAGUGUGUGCGUGUUUUGGUUGUGGGGUGUGGGGGGGGGGGAGAGAAGCUGCACGUUCCCCUUCCCUCGCCCCAGCGGAGCCCAAGGCCGGGCUGCCCGGAUUGGCCGCGGAGGGCCGCCAGCUCCGCCCGCUGUAGCCGUGCUCGCCUUGGCUGGGAGGAGGAGGAGCAGCGGCGGCGGCGGCGGCGGCGGGGGGAAGAGGAGCCGAGGAGCCGAGGCUGCGCUCCGUGCGCUGCCUAGUCUGGAGCGGGGGAGCCUGGCAGCGGCAGGAGCGGCGGCGGCUCAGGAGCAGCGGCGGCGGCAGCAGCAGGAGCAGCCCGGAUCCUGCUGGUCUUGAGGAGGAGCCAGCCCUGCGAACCCUCCGCUUCUUGCGCGCGAGGCAGAAGAGGGGGCCGCCACCCCCGCCGGCGCCCCAACCGAUCCAUGACCAUGGGCGACAAGAAGAGCCCGACCAGGUAGGAGAAAGCGGGGCCAGCGAAAGGGGGGGGGGAGUCGGCAGAGGAGCCGAGAGGAGGUCGGGGGGGGGGAGAGGCUCCCUUCCCUAAGAUGGAGACGAGGGUGGCGGUGGGGACAGGAAGGAGCGCGCCGCGCGGGUGCCAGCCGAAAGCACCCACCACCACCCACCCCGCUUUCUUAGACUCAGGGGAGGCGCGCGGGGAGGGGGGGUGGGGACGGCUAGGCCCCGGGGUGGCGGAGGAGGUGGUGGUUGUAGUAGUGGUGGGAGUCGUGGUGGAGGGAGGGGGCUUUUUAAGAUGGAGGAAGUAGGUAAAGAAGGGGAGAGAGAGAGAGAGCUUGUUUGCCUUGCCUGCCUCUCAGCCAGGUACAGAAAACUCCUUGUUUUUCCAAUUGUGCUGGGAGGCGAAGCUAUAGGAGCAGGAAAGCCAGAGAAAGCUCCUUGUGUGGCUAACUGCUGAAAGGAAGGGGGGGGGACGGGAGGUUUGUGUGUGUGUGUUUUUGUGUGUGUGUUUGGAGGGGCUUGCUCUGUUUUGUGCCCAGGGUGGCUCUUAAGAUGGAGGGAGUGUGUAGAAGCAAAGAGGAGGAGGAGGAGGAGGGCGAAGUGUUUGUGUUUCUCUCUCUGUUGGUGCCAGGGCUAAUCUGGUGUUAGAGCAGCUAUGGCGGCUGCUUCUCUCUCUCUCUCUCUCUCUCUCUCUCUCUCUCUCUCUCUCUCUCACACACACACACACACACACACACACACACAGCUCCUCGUCUCCUCACACUGACUUCUUCCAGACAAAGGGAGAUUUAACAAGGUAAAGGAGACAGACAGACAGACGAAGGGGGCGCAUGGAGGGACACGCCUACAAUCCUUUAAAGUACAAUCAAGCACACACACACCCCUCACUCACACACCCCAAGAGGGAGGGUAACAGGCUCGGAUACCUUCCACCAUCGCCUUUUCCCUGCCCUUCCAGAUUCAGUGGGUAGUCGUUGUUGUGUGAAAAUUGAUUGCCUUGAGAUUGAAGGUUGGAGGGGGAAAUGUUCCCCUUUCCUCUCUUGCUACUACGGGGGUAUGGCAUGGUAUGGUGUUAGGGGAAGGUUGCAGGGUAAGGCAUGAGAAACGUGUGUGGUGAGAAGAGAGAACAAAGUCGGAUUUUUGGCUUGAUGGGUGCUUUGUACGGUUUCCUCACUGCUCCAUCGAAAAUUUGAUUACUUUUUAGGCAAGGAGCAAAAUAAAUAAAUAAAUAAAAGGCAGGCAGAGCAAAGCAGAGCAUAGUAUGAAACAGCUUUGCUUUAUGAUCUCGUUUCUAACAUGUUUUAUUCUUUCUUUUCCUCCUCCUUCUCUCCCCCCCUCCCCUUUCUUCCUACACAUACUUCUCAAGGCCAAAAAGGCAAGCAAAACCUACAGCCGACGAAGGUUUUUGGGAUUGUAGUGUCUGCACCUUUAGGAACAGUGCUGAAGCCUUUAAAUGCAGCAUAUGUGAUGUCAGGAAAGGCACCUCUACAAGGUACAUUGUUCAUAUUCUAAUGUGCUAGUCGUCCCUUUUCCUCCUGUAACUAACUGUAAUGCUGCUGACUUGUUGAUUUACCAUGGUGGUGGGAACGAGAAAUGACUCCCUUUGAAAGAAUGUUUAAACCUGUGUUUUGUGUUACAAGUGUUCAUGUACACAUUAAAAACAAGUGUUUGCAGGUACUGUAUACUGUAUAAUAAUUAUUUGAUGCUAUUUGCUGUAUGUUGAUAAAGAGGCACAACAGAAGCGCAACUUCAAAGUCCUGCUUUGUUCUAAUAAUAAUGACUUAUUUUAUGUAAAAUAAAGGAACUUUGGAAAACCAGUUUCCUGAAGAAUACUAUGGGUUAUGCAUACUUGCAGAGAUGUUCAAGUUAUGUGUAGGAGUGCUGCCAUAUGACAUCUAACACAUGGAUUUAUGUCACAGAAACAUAGCAAUAAUGCAGAUUUAUGAGAUCCUGAGAUAGCUUUAUGAGAUAGUAUGUAUUAGUGAUGGAUUCCCGCCCCCCCCCCCAAAUGUUGAAAGUGUUAAGUAUGAGUUAGGUAAUUCUUUCAAAGUUUUAGGCUGACAAGUUGUCUUAACUGAAUUGGGUGUUCUAUUUUGUAUGCUCUCCUUAGUACUUUUGGAAAGUUAAUCAGCUUUGUCAUAUGUUGCAUGCUUUUUAUGUUAGAAAAAUCACAGAAUUUUACCAUGAAUAGACUUUCUAAUGUGAAGACUCUGCAGAAUGGCAGACAGCAGGUUGUGUUGUUGAUUGGGAGCAGUUGGUAAUGUAUUCGUUAAGUAUUUUGAGCAUGGCAGAGUGAAAGCUGAAAAUGCAUGCUUCCAGUGAGAAAAACUUUCUGGAUCAUUGAGGCUUCUUGUUACAUGAGCAAGUUAAGUAAGUGUCAAAUGUCCACUCGUGUACAUAGCGUGCAUGUCUUUUGAGUAUUUCUACACUUUGUACUGUUUUGGAGGACACUGAUUUUAAGUCUUAAUAUAUAUUACGGUCUAGAACAUGUGUGUGUGUGUGUGUGUGUGUGUGUGUGUGUGUGUGUAGACUUCAGUCACGUUCAUUUAGGCUUUAGUAUUAUCAGUGAAUCCACCUGUGGCUCUUGCAUACAAACCUGUUGAUUUCUUUUGGGGUUGUAUUGUUCUAUACCUACUUGCAGCAUCAGCAUAUUGUAGAUUGUGUUUAAUAAGGAUGGGCAACUGGAAGUUUGUGGGCUAGAUGUACUUCCUGUGUCAAAUUUAAUUUAAGGUGUAGUAAAAAGUUUCCCACCAGUUUCAUUCUUAACAGACUAGAACAAUGUUUUUAAGUUGCAUGAAGUAAGCUUUGAACUUCAAUAUUUGAUCUCUUUCUGAUUUGUGUAUAUAUAACAUUUUUGUUGUAUAUAAUGCUUGAGAUCUGUAAUUGGGAAGGCCUGACUGUUAAGAGUAGACUUUAUUGGGGAGCUGUUGCAGUGCUCAUGAGGGACUCGGUUUUGUGAGGCAAAAUUUAGUCCAAGCCUUCAUUGUACAGUUUGCAGAGCAGUCCUUACAAUGGAUACAGACGUUGUGCAUCCUCUUUGUGUAGCGUAAUUUGAUUAGUAUCCUUAUUUGUUAAAAAGCAUAUUUGUGUCUCUUAAGGAAAAACAACCUGUCCUGUAACAUGGGUUCUUGGGGAGGGGAAGAGACAAUAAUCUUAAUAUGGAAACCUUAUCCCAUUUAAUUACAUAUUAAGUUAAAUUAUUCAAUUAAUAAGGAAAAAUUUCAACUUAGGCAUAGUUGUCAAGUGAGCAUUAGAAUUAGAAAAAUGUUUCGUUACUUUCUCAUUAUGUGUUCCCUGCAACAGAAAGCUUAUGCUGACCUCUUGUUAGGUUUCUAGCUAUAUUUCUGCCUCUAUGAGUACGGUUUCACCAAAGUCAGUAUGAUUGCAUUCACUUAAGAUAUGAAUGGGAAACUUGUUGCUCUUCAGUAUGUUGGAGUUGGACCAUCAAGGCCAGCCAGGGAGACGGGAGUUUAAAUUCAACAACAUAUGGAGGGCUACUAGUUCCCCACCCCAUAUUUAAAGUACGCUUUCAGUAUGUCACUAUAUGCUUUUAAAGUAAGUGCUUAUCAAUGAUAUUUCAUAAUAAAUAUACAAUAAAAAUGCAUAUUUAAGUAUUAUUUAUAAACCAACUCAAUAUUGGACAUAAAUUUGUAAAUAACUCAAAUGAUAGUAACUGAACACUAUCUAAACUCUGCAGUGAGUUUGGGUUGUGGCUUGGGAGUUACUGUAUAUGACGCAUGCUGGUGUUUCAGGAAACCUGCAUUUUUUUUCAAUGACACUUAAUGUACAACAAUGCUAUGGUUUAUGGUUUGCUAUUACUCAGAAUAUUUGUAUCUCAUGAUACGAUCUGUGUGCAUGCUUGUAUUGUAGAAAAUCUCAGUUGCGAAUAUCUACUAGGAUUGCUUAAGGACCAGUAAGUCAGUCCUCCAGAGUAUCAGCAGCAAGAUACCUGUUUUUGAGUGAUACUUCUAGGGAUAGAGACAUGAGCUGGAAUGUCCAACAACGGAAAUCAUUUAUUAUUUAUCUAAAUACUUGAAUAGGGAAGGUAAGCUAUCUGAAAAAAAGAUGAUUUGCACCACCUUCUAUAUUCCCCCGUCUUACCUGCUCAGUCCAGGGCAUCUAAAUAUUCUAAGAGUAUUGAAGGAUUUAAGCACUCAUUCUGCAUUAUGUUCUAAGCUAACCAUAUGAAAUGUUAGGAUACGAUGGUAGCAGUAGUUUUGGUGGCUAGGUUUAUUUUUGAUCUGGGGUUCAGAAUAUGUCUUUUGUGCACCAGCUAAUAGAUUUUGGGUUCAGUUAUAAAGGUUAAUGUGGAUUGUGAGCUGAUUAAUCUUUGAGAUAUUGUGUUUUGGGGAAGGAGGUAGGUGGUCAUGACCAAGAGUGAAAGUCUCACUUGGUUUUCUCACUCAAGAAACAAUUCUGCUGUUUCUGAGUUAUUUUCACAUGAAAUAGUGAAUGAUGUGGCAGAGGAAUAAAAUUUACUUGAAGCUGCACCUGGAAAUAGUUUACUGAAUGCACUUUAAAUUUCAGAAGCAUGGCUUGGUAUGUGAAAAGGAUCUUGGGAUUGUAGUCAAGCACAACCUGAACAUGAGUCAGCAGUGUGGUGCAGCUGCAAUAAAAGCUAAUGCAAUUUUAGUCUGCAUUAAUAGACUCAGUUUUCAAGUCAUGGGAAGAAAUAGUUCAAUUUUGUUUAUUAAUGACACUUAUAUGCUAUCCCAUAACAUAAAGGUAUCUGGGCUGUUUUACAAUAAUUAAGAAUAAAAACAAAUUAUAUACAAAAACCCCAUAAAAUAAAAAGUAAUGUUAUUUUGCACAAGUCAGAUCUCAUAUGGCGUGCUGCCCAGUUCUGCACACUGUCUAGGCAAAUAGGAAUGAGUAAAGAGGAAAUCAAGAUGGUCAGUGGUAUGGAAAGUAAGUCCAAUGAGGCAAUAUCAAAGGAACUGAAGGGUGAUAUAAAGAACUUUUCAAAUACCUAAUGGUCUGUCCCACAGAACAGGGCAAAAACUUUUUCUCUACUGUUCCAGAGGGCAGGACUGUAUCUUAACAGGCUCAAGUUGCAGGGGGGUAGAUUUUGGUUCAACAUUGGGAGAAACAUUGGGUAAGAGCAUUUCGAACAAUAGAACCAGUUACAGUGGUGUGGUAGGCUCUGAAUAGCUGAGUCAAGGAGCAAAUUCUUAAAAAACUAAAACAAGCAACCUUAAAGGUGUGACUUGUGUAAACUCAACAACUCAGUUUUAACAACAGUUCACAUCAUUCAAGGAAAAGUAGGCUCUCUAUGGAGUUACCCCAGUAUUUUUUAUUGUUUUUCAUGUAUUUUGCUUUGCCUUUUCAUAUAUCGUUUUCUAUACAGCUACAUACAGUUCAGAAAAGUUAUACUCCAGUUCUGUACCACAGAUUUGGAAAGAAGCUCCACUGAUCUCAGCGGAACUUAUUUCUGAGUAAACGCAUACACAGGAGUGCUUUUAGUGACUAAACUUUUUCUUCUAUCUUUUCAGCAUUCAGUUCUUGUUUUCUUUAAACUCCUUUAUUGGCCACAUUCCUAUUGUUAACGAGAACUGCAAAUUGUUUUCUGUGAUUAGUUUUAAUAGCGUCGGCUUGCUUUUUGUGCAGUGUGCAUGUUCUUGCUUUUUGUGUGAUGUGUGUGUUCUUGCUGUCAUAUUGUCUUUUUCCUUGCAAUCUUAUCUUUUGAGCUAUCUUGUUUGUAAAUUCAGCUCGGUGGUUCUCUGUUGACACCAUCAGUGUAAAACUGAAUAGGAUUCUUGUGUUCAUAAUUAGUUUCGUAUUGCUAUAACUAUACGUACUGGGGAAAGUGGCACUUUAAAGUUGUUUUUAACUCUGUAGUCCAAACCAGAUGCAACAUCAGUGGACAUGUUUAUUUAAAUCAGGGGUGGGCAAAGUUUACCUCGCCUGGGCUGGUUCACUACUCCUGAUUUAAAUCCAGGUCUGCCCCAGCCAUAUAAAAAAACAAGGGGCAAGAGCCGAAAUACCUUGAAAAAUUGUCUGUUUGAGAGAGAGACAGCAUGUGUGUUUAUCCAUCUGCUGUCUGCAGCUUGCCUUUCCAUACUCUUCUCUUUCUCACCACACUUCCCCCCCCAUACCAAAACUGAACUUCAAUUCCAAGUGUGAAUUCAGGUCAGACAAAAGUGCUUGGGAGAAGAGAGGUGGCUGUGAAUAGGUGAACAGUGUACUUUAGAAAGGGUCACCUCCACUCAUCUGUGUCAUAGUUUUGCUCUAGAAGUCGGAUUUCCCACCCCCUUGCAUUGCCCAUGAUUGAGGCAGAUAAUUUAACUAAAGGAGGAGUAAGGGACCUCUAGUCUGCUGGCAAAUUGCCUUCUAGGUCUAACUGUUUGUUCCUUAGGAUUCUCCCCAGGAAGUGCCCCUCAUCAUUCUGCACUCGCCUGAAGUGCUUUUGCCUAGCCUGCAAAACUGGGCGGAGUGACAGAUGUGAUUCUUACCUUUUGCAUUCCAGCCAUGCAGAAGCUACAAGUUUCUAUACAUCCCCCUCCAUUUUUCCAUCUUUCUUAAAGAAAAGCAAAGAGACAGGAUAAAAAUCCGAGGGCACAUUCCAGUUUGUAACAAAUGAGACCUAUUUCCCAUUCCCAUUGACCUGGAAUGGUUAGGCAUUAAUUUCCAUUGAGUGAAUUAAGAUUUUUUUGGAAGCUGAUUGAAUAUGCUGAGGGACCUGUCCUUAAAAUGGUUGUGACCAACUUCCUGGGUAAGCACAAUGUAAGUAAAAGUAAAGUACAGUGCUACUUUAACAAUCCUUUCCUUUCUAUAUAAUAGUGCAGUGGUACCUCGGGUUAAGUACUUAAUUCGUUCCGGAUGUCCCGUUCUUAACCUGAAACUGUUCUUAACCUAAAGCACCAUUUUAGCUAAUGGGGCCUUCUGCUGCCGCCACACCGCCGGAGCACGAUUUCUGUUCUCAUCCUGAAGCAAAGUUCUUAACCCGAGGUACUAUUUCUGGGUUAGCGGAAUCUGUAACCUGAAGCAUAUGUAACCCGAGGUACCACUGUAUAAUUGAUUGCGGAACAGUUUGCUGAUACAGUUGAAAGCACAGAACUCAAGUUAUUCCCAUGUUCUUGGUGUGUCUUGCAUUUUUUAUCUCUAUAAUCAAGACUUCCAGAUUAUUUUAUGUGCACAUAAGAUAGUUAUGUGAACAACUAUCUUGGAAAUAAAAAGUCAAAGGUGGAAUAGCAUGAAAAGAUUCCCCCCCGGUGGAAUAGCAUAUGGAUUCCCCCCCCCCCCCCGGAAUAAUCCUUCUAUAUUCUUAAUAAUCAGUAGGCAAGAAUGUCCUUUUUGUUUACAGCCUAUCUCUGCAAACCUUGCAUGCUUCCCCCCCCCCCCCCCAUAGUAAAAUUUAAGAGCAUUCCUCUGUGGGGAAAAAAAAACUUUUUAGAAUUGGGCCAUAACUUGACUUAGGAAAAGUAGGCUGAAAACCUUUUGCCUGUUUCUAGAAUCCUUAUGCCUCUUUUAUGGGUUUCUUUUUCUAAUGAAUUUCCCUACACCUUAGAUCAGUGUUAGAAACUUCCAUUGUUCUAGGGGCAUUUUGCGACAGAGAAUUUAAUAAGCGCGAGCAGUUUUUGAGCUCUGGGCGCAGUAUUGCGCUUAAGAUUUCAGGUUAAAACUGCAAAGUGGAAGGAAAAAGGAGACCACCUUCUGCCUCCCCACUUCCAGCUACUGUCUGAAGACUGGAGAAUGGACUUUCUGAAGAAUAUUAUGGGGGUGGGCAGGGGAAGGACUAGACCAUGUAAAAAAUGAACAUAAUAUUUUAGCUGCCGUUCAUUCAUUUUCAGCUUUGUAUUCUAUUCUUGUUAUUAAUCCGUUGUUUGUGCCUGUAACCUAGGUUUAAUUUAGCUCCUAGCUUUCAUAUCCCAUUUUCUAACACUGCCUUAGAUGGGGCAGUGUUGGAAAGGGGAGGGGGAACUACCUCAAACAACACCUUGGUGUCCAACGAGGCUGCACUGUCUUGCACAGGAGGUUGGCAGAAUGAGUAUCCAGAACUACAUAGCUCUCUUGGAAGUUAUAAAGGGGGGUGUUCUUGACAUUUUGCCCCUUCAGAUAGCUUUGGAAAUAAACCCCAAAUGCCUUGGCUGAAAGCUGUCGUGGAUGAAAUAAAGGAUUUCAAAGUUGGAAAGUCUUGAGUGCUGUAGGAGUGGUGUUUUCUUUUAUGGACAUAAAGUACGGGCAGUUCAUCCUUUUUGCUGGUAGUCCUUGUUGGUAGGCCCCUAAAUGAAAACAAACUCCUGUGUGUAUCUUCCUUUCAUUGUUCUGACAGUUUCAUUGUUCAGUAGGCUAGUCAGAAAGCCAUAAAAUUCACCUGUGGAGAACUUAGGUCUAAAUAGUCUUUCACUUCAAUCCUUUU